GUUAUUUUAGCGAGUAUAAGACGCUCCAGGUUUAGGUCCUGAUAAUAUAGAGAAUGGGUCUAUAAAUAAUA
rnacentral:tRNA from 1 species